GGAAAAGCCCCGCGCAAUAAAUACAUGCCCAACCCCGUCAGGACCGGAAGGUAGCAGCGGUAAGCAGCGUCUUUAUGUGCCGCGGGUUUGCUUUUCCGUA
rnacentral:SRP_RNA from 1 species